AGAGUUUGAUCCUGGCUCAGGAUGAACGCUAGCGGCAGGCCUAAUACAUGCAAGUCGAACGCUCAGUAGCAAUACUGGGAGUGGCGCACGGGUGCGUAACGCGUACACAAUCUACCUCUAAGCGGGGGACACCUCCUGGAAACGGGGAUUAAUACCGCAUAAUAUGCCGAAGUCGCAUGACUUUGGUAUUAAUGCAGCAAUGCACUUAGAGAUGAGUGUGCGUCCCAUUAGGUAGUUGGUGAGGUAACGGCUCACCAAGCCUAUGAUGGGUAGCCGGUCUGAGAGGAUGGUCGGCCACACGGGCACUGAGACACGGGCCCGACUCCUACGGGAGGCAGCAGUAAGGAAUAUUGGUCAAUGGUGGAAACACUGAACCAGCCAUGCCGCGUGGAGGAAUAAGGUCCUACGGAUUGUAAACUCCUUUUGACGAGGAAGAAAAUGUUAGAUUUAUCUAAUUUUGACGGUACUCGUAGAAUAAGCACCGGCUAACUCCGUG
rnacentral:rRNA from 1 species